CCUGGUGGUUAUGGCGUCGUCGAACCACCCGAUCCCAUCCCGAACUCGGCCGUGAAAGGCGACCGCGCCGAUGGUACUGCGUCUUAAGGCGUGGAAGAGUAGGUCGCCGCCAGGU
rnacentral:rRNA from 1 species